rnacentral:pre_miRNA from 1 species
CUAAGAUUUUGGAAUUUGAUUGGUAAUGUCGUGGAUGUAGGGGAGAGAAAUUUGAACUCAAGUAGGAGGAUUGAUAGGAGUAGUGGAAGGAGGAUUUUUGGUUAAAUUUCUCUACCCUACAUCUACGACAUUACUGAUCAAAUUUCCCAAAUCUUAG